AUACGGAGGGGGCUAGCGUUGUUCGGAAUUACUGGGCGUAAAGCGCACGUAGGCGGAUUAAAAAGUUAGAGGUGAAAUCCCAGGGCUUAACCCUGGAACUGCCUUUAAAACUAGUAGUCUAGAGUUCGAGAGAGGUGAGUGGAAUUCCAAGUGUAGAGGUGAAAUUCGUAGAUAUUUGGAGGAACACCAGUGGCGAAGGCGGCUCACUGGCUCGAUACUGACGCUGAGGUGCGAAAGCGUGCGGAGCAAACAGGAUUAGAUACCCGAGUAGUCC
rnacentral:rRNA from 1 species